rnacentral:pre_miRNA from 14 species
CUUUAUUGCAGCUGAAAGAUCCCACGCAGAGAGACCCUUACUCAAGUCUUGGGAAAUCGCGGACCCCAGACACAGAGAGACCA